rnacentral:rRNA from 1 species
UACGGAAGGCAGCAGUGGGGAAUAUUGCACAAUGGGCGCAAGCCUGAUGCAGCCAUGCCGCGUGUAUGAAGAAGGCCUUCGGGUUGUAAAGUACUUUCAGUCGUGAGGAAGGUGUUAAGGUUAAUAACCUUAGCAAUUGACGUUAGCGACAGAAGAAGCACCGGCUAACUCCGUGCCAGCAGCCGCGGUAAUACGGAGGGUGCGAGCGUUAAUCGGAAUUACUGGGCGUAAAGGGCACGCAGGCGGUUAAUUAAGUUGGAUGUGAAAUCCCCGGGCUUAACCUGGGAAUGGCAUUCAAGACUGGUUAGCUAGAGUCUUGUAGAGGGGGUAGAAUUCCAUGUGUAGCGGUGAAAUGCGUAGAGAUGUGGAGGAAUACCGGGUGGCGAAGGCGGCCCCUGGGACAAGACUGACGCUCAUGUGCGAAAGCGUGGGGAGCGAAACAGGGAUUAGAUACC